UCCGGUUUGACACCGGCAGUCUCCUAUGAGUCCCCGACAUAACUCGCUGGCAACAUAGGAUAGGGGUUGCGCUCGUUGCGGGACUUAACCCGACAUCUCACGACACGAGCUGACGACAGCCAUGCAGCACCUGUGCCAGGUUCCGGACUGGGUACCGUUGGGGGGACGUUUCCGCCCCCUACUCCCUGGCGCUUUCGCACAUGUCAAGCCUGGGAUAAGGUUCUUCGCGUAGCCUCGAAUUAAGCCACAUGCUCCACCGCUUGUGUGAGCCCCCGUCAAUUCCUUUGAGUUUCAGCCUUGCGGCCAUACUCCCCAGGCGGGGGACUGAGCACUUUCGCUUCGGCAGCGAGCCCAUGCGGCCCGCUACCUAGUCCCCAUCGUUUAGGGCCAGGACUAC
rnacentral:misc_RNA from 1 species